CCUUGGAGAAUUCUGCCUGCGUUCCACCUUAACCACCGCGCCACGGGCGGGGCUGUUUUCUGGGGUGGGACUAGGCAAAUAUUACCCUAUGGGCUAGGGUAACCAGACCCGGUCGCGAGUUGAGGAUAGGUUAUUUCUGUAGGGGCGUGGCUUGUGGGUCUUCGCUUUCCCGCCGACGGUUGGCCACGUCACGUGACAUGGGCUGGAAGAUGGCGUCUCCCACGGACGGGACAGAUUUGGAAGCAUCUUUGCUAAGUUUUGAGAAACUUGACCGUGCCUCGCCUGAUCUUUGGCCGGAACAAUUACCAGGUGUUGCUGAAUUUGCAGCUUCUUUCAAAAGUCCCAUCACUAGCUCUCCACCCAAAUGGAUGGCUGAAAUAGAGCGUGACGACAUCGAUAUGUUGAAAGAACUAGGGAGCCUCACCACAGCUAAUUUGAUGGAGAAGGUACGAGGCCUCCAGAACCUGGCCUAUCAGCUGGGGCUGGAUGAGUUUUACAGAUGAAAGAACUGAGGCACAGAGAAUCUACAUGCUUUAUCUGCAAGAACCAUCUACCAGAGAGAUGACAAGAGGCAAAUUCCUGAACAUCCUAGAGAAGCCCAAGAAGUAGCAAACGCUCCUGCACAGGUGUCCUGAAGACCAUAGCCAAGUUCCCUUCCCAGUGUAGCUCUGAUGAGGCACACCACAUGCUUGGGAAAGACUGGAGCCUGAACUUCCUACUCCCCUGCUCCUGGCACUCUGCACCUGAGGACAUUUGGUAGCCAGAGAAGAAUCUGUUCUACCCAAGGAUCAUUGCCAUUCACCGAGCCGGCUUCGCAACUCUGUGUAUUGGUAACAUAGAGUCCCUGUCAUUCUGGAAGGUCCUUUCCAGAAGUAGUGCAGGAGUCCCGGGACCUUGGAAUGACCCUGAUUCUGUAAUGGCAGAGUCAGUGUGACAUGGGUUACCGGGCUCUGUUGAGCUGUACUUGAUCUCUUAAGAAGCACUCACGAUGAGGACAUCAGAGACCAACUGCAUUCUGGACCAGACCUGGGAAUGGUCUCAGACCCGACAGAGUCUGUGACUUCCAUUUCUGAAGGAAGCUCUUCUGGAAAUGUACGCCUUCCUUUUAAGUCUAUACCUCCAGGGACACUCCUGCCCUAGCGCUGCCCCUUCCCCACCUCCCAGGCCCACCUUGCAGGGUCUAACUCCAGACCAGUGGAGCUCUUGUAGUGGCUGCCUUCGUGGGAUUGGCUUGUAGAGUGAAGGGCUCAUGCUGUGUCACCCCGAGUUCUAGACCUCCAGACUAGUAUGAAGAUAAGAAAAAAGUUAGGCUGUUGACAUGUGUAAGUAAAAAAGUAAGUGUGACUUCUAGUGGGAGGACAUGGUUGUGAGAGUCCCCAUUUGACUGACAAGAAGCCCUCCCUGACUUAGUGUGUGCAAUCGAAUGCUAAUAAUGCUUUGUCCCCCUUUUCCUCCUCUCAGCCACGCAUCAGAUACUUCGCUUAUAUGAUAAAAACACACCCAUAGGAAAAUAUUCUGGCUUAAAUACAGCUCUCACAGACUUCUUUGCUAGUUGUAUGUGUCUGCCAAACUCUGAAAAUCUUGCCCAUGGGUAAGAUGGAUUAGACUAGUCUUUCACAUUUUGAAAAGCUCAGAAAGUUCCCUCGGUAUUAUCAGAAGAACAGCUCUGUGGCAGUCAUCCAGUGGGAGUUUGGGCACAGGAGAAGCUGUGGCCAAGUCUGGGCCACGCAUCUGUUAGGGCACAGUACUCUUGAGGUUCAUAGCAAGCUCCUUGGCCAUUCUUGACAUUUGUGCCUAACGCUAGAAUUGCUGUUCCAUUUUCCCCUUUAUUAGUGCUAUUUGAUCAACACAAUCUUACUUUUUGAAAGGAAAACGCAAUGAAAUAUGAACCACAGUAGGUAAGUAUGAGAAGAGAAGCAUUCUGCUGGAGUACUCCCUAGAAGGGAGUUGAUUUUAAGCUUAAGUCUGUGAUUGACAUUUUUUAUCUCACUAAAUGCGGUUAAAGUGGGUGUGUGCGAGUGAUCAGAAAAUAAUGCCUUAUGUCAAGUUUUUCUUCACUCUGUUUUUGAGAGUUGAUGACAUCAGGCACUUUUCAGAGUUUGGGGACAUUGAAAAGUAUGUGGAGAAUACUGGGAUAGCUCCCCCAAACCAACUCGUCUGUAAUGGGAAGCCAGUAGUUGGUGUUUUGAUCUGCUAUGGCCUCCUCCUUUUUACUGUCAUCCUAUUCACCAGCACUUAAAUUAAUGUAAGUAGAUGUUUUAGAAUUGUGAUAUUUAUUGUUUUUGUAUUUGUCAUCCUUAGAAAUGUUAAUGAUGUAUUUUUAUAUUGGUAAUAUAAAUUUAUGUACAGUAUAUAUAUGUAUUUUAGAAUGUUAGAGGAUUAUACUUUGUGUAUAAUGUGUCUUCAUAAUAAAUAUGUCCCUUGUAUAGGAGGUUGAAUUUUUCCCUUAAAGGGCCAAGCUGCAUGUUUAAAGCCUAGACUCAUUAAAAGUACAACUCAGGUGACAAGUCCAAAUCAGCCAUCCUGCCCAUUACUGCUAAAUUCCCUGUCCCAGUAGGAACCUUUAGAAACCUUUGGUACCACCUUGUAUAUUGUCAAGGAUCCAUCUCUCUCCUCCAAACAGUGGACAGUAACAUCCUAUUGAUCCUUCAGUUUGGAUUCUUUCUUCUCACACAUAAAGUCUCUCGUCCAGUAGGAAUUGUUCUUACUCCGAGCAGGUCCUAGUGCCUUAUGGGUCCGAGCCAUGGAGUCUCAUAAAGCCUCCAUUACAUUUCCACACACCAGACCUCUUUUUCCCAUAAGACCUUGGUGACCCCACUGGAGAUGUGCCAUUCCUGUGACGAUGAUCACACCCGAUCACAAGAUCACACCUAAGUGAUGAGUCCAGAUCUUGCUGUCCUUUGUCACAGGCUCCCUGGGAUUAUGUCUCCCUCCUGCGUGUCUAGGUCUCCCAUGUCUUCAUGGAAGACCUCUUCAUCUGCUUUAGUAUGAGUUCCUUGUUUGAGACCCAGAGAAGUACUCACCUGGGCUCUGUCCCAUGCUAAUAGUGGAUUUGUCUUCACCAGAGCCUGUCCUUCUAGAGAAAGCAUUCCAUUUUGUUGUUGUUAUUUUUCUUUUUGUUGUUGUUUUUCAAGACAGAGUUUCUUUGUGUAACAGCUCUGGCUGUCCUGGAACUCAGUCUGCACACCAGGCUGGCCUUGAACUCACAGAGCUCCUCCUGCCUCUGCCUCCUGAGUGCUGGGAUUAAAGGCAUACGCCUCCACCGUCCAGCGAGAAAACAUUCCAUUUUAAGGAAAACAAAUUGAUAACACAGCUCACAUAGGAUACUAAUUUUGUUAAUUACAAAGCACCCUUGUUAAUUUUCUUUAUCUUUUUAAUAUAAAACAUGUUUCCCAUAAUUUAAA